rnacentral:ribozyme from 1 species
GCUGCUCGAAACUUUGCACACCUCUCCGUGGUGAGUGGCAGGCAACGAUCUUAUGGUCGGCGAAGAUGUGAA